rnacentral:rRNA from 1 species
GACGAACGCUGGCGGCGUGCUUAACACAUGCAAGUCGAACGAUGAAGCUGGAGCUUGCUCCAGUGGAUUAGUGGCGAACGGGUGAGUAACACGUGAGCAAUCUGCCCUUGACUCUGGGAUAACUGCGGGAAACUGUAGCUAAUACCGGAUAUGACACCUUGGGGCAUCCCGAGGUGUGGAAAGAAUUUCGGUCAAGGAUGAGCUCGCGGCCUAUCAGCUUGUUGGUGAGGUAACGGCUCACCAAGGCGACGACGGGUAGCCGGCCUGAGAGGGUGACCGGCCACACGGGGACUGAGACACGGCCCAGACUCCUACGGGAGGCAGCAGUGGGGAAUAUUGCACAAUGGGCGCAAGCCUGAUGCAGCAACGCCGCGUGAGGGAUGACGGCCUUCGGGUUGUAAACCUCUUUUAGCAGGGAAGAAGCGAAAGUGACGGUACCUGCAGAAAAAGCACCGGCUAACUACGUGCCAGCAGCCGCAGUAA